GGUCCCAUAGUGUAGCUGGUUAGCACGCAGGAUUUUGAUUACAUCAAAAUUACUCUUUCCUGAGACCUGAGUUCGAUUCUCGGUGGGACCU